CGUAGGCAGCAAGCGUUGUUCGGAGUUACUGGGCGUAAAGGGUGCGUAGGCGGCUUUUUAAGUUUGGUGUGAAAUCUCCCGGCUCAACUGGGAGGGUGCGCCGAAUACUGAGAGGCUAGAGUGCGGGAGAGGAAAGUGGAAUUCCUGGUGUAGCGGUGAAAUGCGUAGAUAUCAGGAGGGACACCGGUGGUGUAAACGGCUUUCUGGACCGUAACUGACGCUGAGGCACGAAAGCGUGGGUAGCAAACAGGAUUAGAUACCCUGGUAGUCCACGCCCUAAACGAUGCAUAUUUGGUGUGGGCCAUUCAGUUGGUCCGUGCCGGAGCUAACGCGUUAAAUAUGCCGCCUGGGGAGUACAGUCGCAAGGCUG
rnacentral:rRNA from 1 species